rnacentral:rRNA from 1 species
GGGCCCGCACAAGCGGUGGAGCAUGUGGUUUAAUUCGAUGAUACGCGAGGAACCUUACCAGGGCUUAAAUGUAAGUUGCAUUAGCUAGAGAUAGCUAUUUCUUCGGACCACUUACAAGGUGCUGCAUGGUUGUCGUCAGCUCGUGCCGUGAGGUGUCAGGUUAAGUCCUAUAACGAGCGCAACCCCUGUUGUUAGUUGCCAGCGAGUAAUGUCGGGAACUCUAACAAGACUGCCGGUGCAAACCGUGAGGAAGGUGGGGAUGACGUCAAAUCAUCAUGCCCCUUAUGUCCAGGGCUGCACGCAUGCUACAAUGGCAAGUACAACGAGUCGCAAAUACCGCGAGGUGGAGCAAAUCUCUUAAAGCUUGUCUCAGUUCGGAUAGGAGUCUGCAACUCGACUCCUUGAAGUUGGAGUC